ACGGGACAUUUCUGUCAAAUCCUCUAUUAUCGCUCGAUCCAUACAACAACAUUCAUUGGCUGAGAGUGUCAGCUGACCGCAAUUCUAUGCAACUCUAGCCCAGGCUGGCAGAUGACACCACAAUGACGCUGCCCGAGGUGGGUUUACAUCGCUAGUAACAGGCACCAUGACCUCUUGAGAUCACUGAAGUGUUUAUGUUGCUUGGAGUAACUCUCUAAGUUUAAGUAAUGGUUAUCUGAUUACAACCACCAUCUCUCCGUUAGUCAAAAUUAACCCUUUAUAAAAAAUUAUGUUCCCACUUUUCACACCUCACCUCACCGUUAUCAAUCAAGUACCAUCAUUUAUUUACCCUAGGGUAAAUUUCAGCAUAAAUAUGUAUACACAAGUGAUAACACUCUCACCAACACACACAAAACAGAGCACAUAAGAACCCAAAGAAAUGCAUCUUUCACUGUAUUUGCUAACCAGAGUUUACGACUUUUCAGGUUUAGCCAUGAUACCUGAUACAUGACAGACAAGAGGAGAAAAAACAAAAGUACCAUCAACUUAUGCAGCCCAUGAGAAAAGAAAAAAUAAAUAGAUUAAAGGUUACUUGAAGGGCGCUGCAAAUGCGAUUGUAUCAUAUACUCACAGAGUUUUGGAGGUUAAAAGGUGCUGUAUGAAGCAAAACUAU